CAAACCAAAGCAUAGAGACCCUCUCCGAAUAAUGCACUUUCAAAGUGCCUCAAGUGGAGACUCCAGAGCCACACCAGCAAAAACAUAAAUUCUGCUGGUUCAUCUGCUUUUAGUCCCUAAACCCCCUCUGGUCCAGGUUUAUUUUGUGCAACAUUUGAUCUGUCAUUAAUCUUCACUGAUCCAGACGCAAAGUUGUUUCUGCCAAGAGUCCAAACAUGAGCCAAGUAUGCUGCAACAGAAGUGUUUCUGAGAAACUGAAUGUUCAGAAGAUACCACAGCAAAAUCUAUCAGGUUAACAUCAACAAGAACAAACCUGCAUUGUCAAAGUCAUAAAGGGAUUUUUAAAGUUUUAUCUCAAACCAGCUCCACAGAGCAGGAGAGAACAAAAGCAGUGCAUUA